rnacentral:rRNA from 1 species
UACAGAGGUCUCAAGCGUUGUUCGGAUUCAUUGGGCGUAAAGGGUGCGUAGGCGGCGCGGUAAGUCGGGUGUGAAAUCUCGGAGCUUAACUCCGAAACUGCAUUCGAUACUGCCGUGCUUGAGGACUGGAGAGGAGACUGGAAUUUACGGUGUAGCGGUGAAAUGCGUAGAUAUCAGGAAGAACACCCGUGGCGAAGGCGGCUCUCUGGGCCGAUACUGACGCUGAGGAGCGAAAGCGUGGGGAGCGAACAGG